GACGUAGGGCGCGAGCGUUGUCCGGAUUUAUUGGGCGUAAAGAGCUCGUAGGCGGUUUGUCGCGUCGGGAGUGAAAACCUACAGCUUAACUGUGGGCUUGCUUUCGAUACGGGCAGACUUGAGGCAUGCAGGGGAGAACGGAAUUCCUGGUGUAGCGGUGAAAUGCGCAGAUAUCAGGAAGAACACCCGUGGCGAAGGCGGCUCUCUGGGACGGUACUGACGCUGAGACGCGAAAGCGUGGGGAGCGAACAGG
rnacentral:rRNA from 1 species